ensembl:snoRNA
GGGCAAUGAUGUAAAGGUUUUACUACUGACCUUUGUAACUGUGAAGGUUUCUACACUUGACCUGAGCUCA